rnacentral:rRNA from 1 species
UACGGAGGAUCCGAGCGUUAUCCGGAUUUAUUGGGUUUAAAGGGUGCGUAGGCGGGCGCUUAAGUCAGCGGUGAAAGUUUGUCGCUUAACGAUGAAACUGCCGUUGAAACUGGGUGCCUUGAGUGCGAAUGAGGCAGGCGGAAUGUGUCAUGUAGCGGUGAAAUGCAUAGAUAUGACACAGAACACCGAUUGCGAAGGCAGCUUGCUGGGACGCAACUGACGCUGAGGCACGAAAGCGUGGGGAUCGAACAGG